CCAAUCAAGCUUGGCUUGUCGUUGGACUCUGCGGCUGAAAUAUGCGGCAGGUCCGAAAGAUAAUGACGGCGUCGUGUUUGACCCUAGAUGCAACGAGCUUUUUUUUAAUAGCACGCAUUGAAGUGGUCGGCCGACUGGUCUUUAACCAUCAUUUUCUCAAGGUUGACCUCGGAUCAGGUAGGAAUACCCGCUGAACUUAA
rnacentral:misc_RNA from 1 species